GGGCCGUUAGCUCAGUUGGCUAGAGCGCCGCCCUUACAAGGCGGAAGUCACUGGUUCGAGUCCAGUACGGCCCA
rnacentral:tRNA from 1 species